rnacentral:rRNA from 1 species
UGGGGAAUAUUGGACAAUGGGCGAAAGCCUGAUCCAGCAACGCCGCGUGAGGGAUGACGGCCUUCGGGUUGUAAACCUCUUUCAGCAGGGACGAAGCGCAAGUGACGGUACCUGCAGAAGAAGCACCGGCCAACUACGUGCCAGCAGCCGCGGUAAUACGUAGGGUGCGAGCGUUGUCCGGAAUUAUUGGGCGUAAAGGGCUCGUAGGCGGUUUGUCGCGUCGGGAGUGAAAACUCAGGGCUUAACCCUGAGCUUGCUUUCGAUACGGGCAAACUAGAGGUAUGCAGGGGAGAACGGAAUUCCUGGUGUAGCGGUGAAAUGCGCAGAUAUCAGGAGGAACACCGGUGGCGAAGGCGGUUCUCUGGGCAUUACCUGACGCUGAGGAGCGAAAGUGUGGGGAGCGAACAGG